GUAUUAUUUUUAUUUUUUUAACAGUUUACAAAACACUCUAUAAUAUCCUAAACGUACUUAAUAUUCUAUAACCCCUAAUAUAUUCUCUUAUAUGAAAAACAAAAAAACAUUUCCCUGUGACCUCUGUGUUGAACGAAUCGUCCACAGUUUUUAAUCUCAUAAGACUGCAUACUCUCAGUUAAAAUAUGCAAAAACAUAAAAAUCCGGACUCUAGUUAUCACAAUAGUAAUUUCGUGUUCGGGAUCUAAUUUACGAAAAUCAACGGCCUUUGACGGCCGUAAUCUAAAACGCUUGAAAAGUUUUCGGUAUACGCGUGCAAUAAUUUCAGAUAUUCGGCGACGACUGCAUACAUAUACUGCUGUUUUUUAUUUUUAUUAUUUUCUUUCCCGACCUCGGAAAACACUUUUCGUCGUCGUGGUAAAAUUACUCGAGGGAAAGUUCCAGCAACUUUAUCAUAUAUACGCCCGGAUAAGACGUAUGUUAUAUUCGAAAACGAGGCGCGCACCAGUAUAAACAGGUCUUACCGAAACUACAAUACGACCUAUUUAAGUGAAUAUACUCCAAAUUUCUAUUAGUAUUGGCUUU